GGGAAACAUUCGCAAUGGUGAGUGAGACAGAGAAACUUCAGGUAGGGCAGACAGAGCAGUUAGCUUGUUAAAGACCGUAUUACUCUGAAAAUGCCCUAGGGAGGGAGCCUACAGCCAGCUGGAAAAACUGCUCCAAAUGUACAGAGCUACAGAGCUGCUGAGCAUACAGAUGACACUUUAGUUCAAUAGGGAAACCUGCCCACUCUCCAAGAUUCACCUGCCCACUCUCCAAGAUUCACCUGCCCACUCUCCAAGAUUCACCUGCCCACUCUCCAAGAUUCACCUGCCCACUCUCCAAGAUUCACCUGCCCACUCUACAAGAUUCACCUGCCCACUCUCCAAGAUUCACCUGCCCACUCUACAAGAUUCACCUGCCCACUCUCCAAGAUUCACCUGCCCACUCUACAAGAUUCACCUGCCCACUCUACAAGAUUCACCUGCCCACUCUCCAAGAUUCACCUGCCCACUCUACAAGAUUCACCUGCCCACUCUACAAGAUUCACCUGCCCACUCUACAAGAACUUUACACAUCCAGAAUGAGGAAACGUGUAGGUAGAAUCACUCUGGACCCCACACACCCGGCCCACCCCCUCUUUGAACUUUUACCCUCUGGAUGGUGCUACAGAGCAGUAAACGCUAGGACAUCCAGACACAAGAACAGCUUCUUCCCUCAGGCCAUUCAUUUCCUGAACAAUUAAUCUGUCUGCUAUCUCCCCCGCUGCAAUAAUAAUCUUUAUGUACAUGUAUGUACUGUAUAUAGGCACAAAUGCAAUAUUGUACAUAAGUACCCAUAAGUACCCUAUUUAUAUUUCCAUCCUACUUAUAUCUGUACUGCUAUAUUUUUCAAAAUUAUAA